rnacentral:piRNA from 1 species
CGGGUGAGACCUGCGAUCCUCUCUGAUC